GUUUAUAUGGGUCCAGGAAGUAAAUUUUACUUCCAAAAGUAUAUCCAAACGUUAUUGGAGGAUGAUUUCAAAACAGUUGUAGGAGUAAGUCAUGUCUUGUUGGCGUCAUUUGUGAUCUUCUUGCUCCUGAAUAUUAAUGAUAAUCUUGGUGGUUGAAACAGAGCUUCAAGUUAUUAUGAAAAAAAUGGCUAUGGAAAUCUCAUACACCUGGGGCAUUUGUAGCUGUAGGGGCUGCUUUAUUGGUUGAAGCUGCAGUAUGGGUGAUCCAGAUGCACAAUAUGAACUAGGCUGUAAGCUUAGAGUUGAUAAUAAAUAUGUUCAGUUGGGUCAUCAAGCAUUCUAUUUGGAGAAGGCUAG